GAUGAACGCUGGCGGCGUGCCUAAUACAUGCAAGUCGAGCGAACAGAUGAGGAGCUUGCUCCUCUGACGUUAGCGGCGGACGGGUGAGUAACACGUGGAUAACCUACCUAUAAGACUGGGAUAACUUCGGGAAACCGGAGCUAAUACCGGAUAAUAUAUUGAACCGCAUGGUUCAAUAGUGAAAGACGGUUUUGCUGUCACUUAUAGAUGGAUCCGCGCCGCAUUAGCUAGUUGGUAAGGUAACGGCUUACCAAGGCAACGAUGCGUAGCCGACCUGAGAGAGUGAUCGGCCACACUGGAACUGAGACACGGUCCAGACUCCUACGGGAGGCAGCAGUAGGGAAUCUUCCGCAAUGGGCGAAAGCCUGACGGAGCAACGCCGCGUGAGUGAUGAAGGUCUUCGGAUCGUAAAACUCUGUUAUUAGGGAAGAACAAAUGUGUAAGUAACUAUGCACGUCUUGACGGUACCUAAUCAGAAGGCCACGGCUAACUACGUG
rnacentral:rRNA from 1 species